rnacentral:rRNA from 1 species
GUGGGGAAUAUUGCACAAUGGGGGGAACCCUGAUGCAGCCAUGCCGCGUGAAUGAAGAAGGCCUUCGGGUUGUAAAGCUCUGUCUUCAGGGACGAUAAUGACGGUACCUGAGGAGGAAGCCACGGCUAACUACGUGCCAGCAGCCGCGGUAAUACGUAGGUGGCGAGCGUUGUCCGGAUUUACUGGGCGUAAAGGGAGCGUAGGCGGACUUUUAAGUGAGAUGUGAAAUACCCGGGCUCAACUUGGGUGCUGCAUUUCAAACUGGAAGUCUAGAGUGCAGGAGAGGAGAAUGGAAUUCCUAGUGUAGCGGUGAAAUGCGUAGAGAUUAGGAAGAACACCAGUGGCGAAGGCGAUUCUCUGGACUGUAACUGACGCUGAGGCUCGAAAGCGUGGGGAGCAAACAGGAUUAGAAACCCUAGUAGUCC